rnacentral:rRNA from 1 species
UACGGAGGGGGCUAGCGUUGUUCGGAAUUACUGGGCGUAAAGCGCACGUAGGCGGCUUUGCAAGUCAGAGGUGAAAGCCCGGGGCUCAACCCCGGAAUUGCCUUUGAGACUGCAUCGCUAGAAUUGUGGAGAGGUAAGUGGAAUUCCGAGUGUAGAGGUGAAAUUCGUAGAUAUUCGGAAGAACACCAGUGGCGAAGGCGACUUACUGGACACAUAUUGACGCUGAGGUGGCGAAAGCGUGGGGAGCAAACAGG